ACAUAGAUUUGAUUGGAACAUAGAUACACUUAAUAUAUUCGAGAAAUUGGAAGAUGGCGAGGACGGUUGAAAAAUGAGCAAGACGUAAUAAAAGUGUUAAUUAUUAAUUAUUAUUAGAACAGAAGAUUUUAGAACAGUGGAAGUUUUAUUUUAUGCGCUGCGAUCCCUAUUCUACAUUAAUAAUACUAAAUGCAAGAAUAUCUGGAGCGUGGCUUUUAUCAGCACUUCCACAAGGACCCAGUGGCAACUGAUACAUAAAUGUAAUGACGUCAUUAGAGCCCGGCACACAACUGGUGCUUUUGAGAUUCGAAUACCGAUUCGUAGCCGAAUUUGGCAUUUCACCCCCAUUGACCUACUUUGCGUGCUAAUUGUGGAUUAUGUUAAUGUCUAGAGCUAUUUAUAUGUUUGUUUACCACCAAAGACAAUAUAUGUACGUACCAAAGUAACCUAGCUAAUGAAAAUAUGUAAACACUAGUGAUAAUAAUUCUUCUAAUUAUAUAUAUCUCUUUGACAGCAAAAGCUCUAAAUGUUCUAAAAUCUAUUAUACAUAUAAACUCCAUAAACGUUAAAUUCAAUUGAGUCACAACAAUUAAUUUACAUAACUGUAAUAAUCGACCAAAAUAAAAACACAGUAGGACUGAUAUGUACCGAAUAUAAAUACUUCGAUUAUUUUUCACCACUCCAAAAACAUCGCAAAAUAUACAUAUUUUGUAAUAAAGAUAGGUCUGUGAGUAAUGAAUGAACUACAUACAACAUGGUGAUAGUCCAAAGGCGGGCUUUGAAAUUAAAAUUACUCUUAAUUCAAUACUAUUCCUGCUGUUUCUAUCAAUUUUCAUGUUCAAAUACAUUUUUUUUCCUUUCUUCA